rnacentral:rRNA from 1 species
UGGGGAAUUUUGGACAAUGGGGGAAACCCUGAUCCAGCCAUCCCGCGUGUGCGAUGAAGGCCUUCGGGUUGUAAAGCACUUUUGGCAGGAAAGAAACGUCGCGGGUUAAUACCCCGCGGAACUGACGGUACCUGCAGAAUAAGCACCGGCUAACUACGUGCCAGCAGCCGCGGUAAUACGUAGGGUGCAAGCGUUAAUCGGAAUUACUGGGCGUAAAGCGUGCGCAGGCGGUUCGGAAAGAAAGAUGUGAAAUCCCAGAGCUUAACUUUGGAACUGCAUUUUUAACUACCGGGCUAGAGUGUGUCAGAGGGAGGUGGAAUUCCGCGUGUAGCAGUGAAAUGCGUAGAUAUGCGGAGGAACACCGAUGGCGAAGGCAGCCUCCUGGGAUAACACUGACGCUCAUGCACGAAAGCGUGGGGAGCAAACAGGAUUAGAUACCCUGGUAGUCCACGCCCUAAACGAUGUCAACUAGCUGUUGGGGUCUUCGGACCUUGGUAGCGCAGCUAACGCGUGAAGUUGACCGCCUGGGGAGUACGGUCGCAAGAUUAAAACUUAAAGGAAUUGACGGGGG